AGUAGAACCGCGUCUAUCGUGUUGCACGCACGCAUGACGCGCUAUGGAACGCGCGGACGAUUUUCGAUUUUUUUAAAAGUAAAUUCUAUUUAUUUUCCCUCCAUUUUCUUGUAUAUAGGACGUAUGUGUAAUGGAUGCAUUAGGUGUUAAUUGUGACUUGGACGUUGCAACCACAAUAUAAAAUUUGUUUAUAUUAUACCGGGAUAUACAAGCCAACACGUUCCAAGCAAACAUUAUGUCAAUUAUGUGCGAGAAUGUGUAAAUAAACCUUUACAUAUACAAAUAGUGAUAAAAAUAAAACACACAAAAAAGUUAUGUCGGACAGAUGACUGUAAUUAAUGAUGGAAUUAAUUGGCAGAAAGUGGAUAAUGAUGUGCAGGGAGUGGGG
rnacentral:misc_RNA from 1 species